rnacentral:rRNA from 1 species
UACGUAGGGGGCAAGCGUUGUCCGGAAUCAUUGGGCGUAAAGCGCGCGUAGGCGGCCCGGUAAGUCCGUUGUAAAAGUCAAAGGCUCAACCUUUGAAAGCCGAUGGAUACUGCCGGGCUAGAGUCCGGAAGAGGCGACUGGAAUUCCUGGUGUAGCGGUGAAAUGCGCAGAUAUCAGGAGGAACACCGGUGGCGAAGGCAGGUCUCUGGGCCGAUAUUGACGCUGAGGAGCGAAAGCGUGGGGAGCGAACAGG